UGAUUAUUGGAGGUGUGGGUGGGGAUGGGAAGUGGUAUGUGUGUCACAAAGGGUUCCAGAUGGGUGUGUUAAGAUCCCAACUGUUGAGAGGCUUGCAACCUAGUCUCUCAAAUACGCAAAUGACAGCAGCUGUACAUAAUAGAUCCCAGCAGAGCACACCUGAAUGCAUCCCUAGGCUGCAGUGACAAGGGUCAUUGAGCUAGGAGUCCUAGCAUCAGCCACAUCUUGCUAUUGUUGGGAAGAUCCUCGGCCAAUCUCCAUGAAGCCAAUAAUUGGCCUGUUUACCUCUGUGAUCCCCUUACCCAAAAGACCUUCGACUUCCACACCCUGCAUCUUUGCUCAACGACAGCUCAACUUGACAACUAGGACCUGGCUUCUAGCGGAAGACAUGACUACAAAAUUGGAAGCCCACUGCUCAGUGUGGCUAGGCCUGUGGCCUUACCAUCCGCGUGCUGACGGCAUUCUCAGUGAGGGCAGAGACAAAUAAAUGGUACAAGGAGAGAGCAAUGAAGGCGUAGGGCGUAGGGAGGGCUCUUUGCUGAGGGUGUGCAAAGCCUAAGUCCCUGAUCCACUGGGUCAGAUAUGAGAACAAAAGAGCUUUUAUCUGAGGGAAAGUGUUCCCAGAAAAAUACUCUGAGCUAGAAAAUUCCUGUCAUCCUCGCUCAUUUAUUUUGUACAAGGACUCAAAAAUAAAAAAAAAAAUCUUUCCUUUUCCGGUGGAACUCUGACAUAAAGGAGAGCCUGUAUAUGGUGGCGGCGGUGACUGAGCACAGCCUCCCAGGCUGCUUCUUUCUUGAUGUUGAACCACAUCACCCAUUAAUACCCAAAUGCUGGCAAUCCCACCAAGGCCGCCAUUCCACUGCCUUUCGGGGUCAAGCUUGCCUCCAUGUAUGUGCUACUAAAACACAAAGCUCCUUUCUCAGCAACAGAAACUCCAUUUAUCAGUUAGGAGGCUUUGGGUUGUAAGCCCCAAAAUACCCAACCAGGAAUGAACUGAAGCACAAAUGAAUUCUCUCAAGCUUAGGGCUAAGUCUGGAGCAGACAGUAGUUAAUAACUGUGUCAGUUGAAGUCAACCCAGUGACUUCAGCUGAGCAUAGGUUUCCCCUGUUCUUCCCAUCUGUCCUCACGAGGUCACAAGAUGGCGGCCAUAAUUCCAAGACCUCACGGAAGACCCCCAAAGUGGAAGUGAGUCUGUCCAUGGGCUCUUCGAGGCUGUACCAAGCAGAUGAUGGUGGUCACAGCAGCAUUUCCGGACAUCUGGUGCUCAAUUUGCCCAGGUCAACCUUCUUACAAGAGCAUAUGGCCUGACGUUAUUGACAUGACACGGCUCCAGUUCUCUUCCUGAAUUUCAGACCAUUUUUGCUAAUUUAAAACCCAACAGAUAGCCAAGCAGCAUGGUGGCCCUGGCCCCUCCUCUUCCUACAGUCAGUUCCUGGUACUAACAGAGUGACCCAAAAAGGAGAGUUGGGAACUCCAGGACCCUGGAAACCCUACUAUGGUUUUCUGUGAAAUGACAUUUGCCCAGAACCAACCAGAAGCCCAGUUGGGACACCCCAGUCUUAGACAAUCUCAGUGAAAGGAGGGUUCACACCACUCACCCCUGAAAGGAGCCACUGUGGCCAAGAACCACUUCUGUGGAGGUCGUCUCCUUCCUCUGUGAACCGCUGUGGAAUGCUGGAGGCAAUCCCAGACACUGUGACCAGACAAUGGGAAAGUAGAGAAGAAAGGACCUCCAGUGUAGCCACAUGGAGACUGCCAAAUUCUAUCACCCUGGAACUUCUUGCCAUGUUGCUGGAGAUCACCCUGUUCUAACAGGGGCCAUCUUGACUGUGAGGGAGUACCACAGUCCUUCAUGAUAGACACAUGAAUGGAGUACGAAUCAAGGAGAAGCAGAAAAGUUGAACCAUUGAGAGUUGACAUCAGGAGGAGGAGAGAGGAGGACUGGACCAGGGAAAGGAGGGAAGAAAGGACCAGUGCCCAGCUAAUAGGUGGCGCCAUGAGAAGAUCCUCCCUUUGACAAUGACCACAAGAGCUACGUGAAACAUUUUCAAAACCUGCAGACAUCGUAGGCCAUAUUCCCCCCAGAAAUGACUACCAGCUCCGUUAGAGAAGCUUCAAGGCUCUGCACUUGACAAAACAGAAAUCUGUAGGCAAGUGAGUAAUGGUGGGUCUCAAGGGGACCAGAAGAAUGUCCCCAGGAAGAACAGAAGUGCAGGGGAUGAGGUGUCACAGCUGAGGGAGAGAGAACUCUCACUACCCACUAUUUCAGAAAAGAUCGGCUACCCUAAACCCAGUAGACUAGUACCCCACAGUUGCCCAAGCAGUCCCCGUUCUACCCGAACCAGUGCCUUGAGCCACCACCCAGACCCUCUGCCAUGACUCGACUUUCUGCCUCGAGCUUGUGUCUUCUCCUCUACCCUCUGCCCAGCCGGGAAUGGGAUCCUAUCCCAGCUGCCCUGAGUCGCAGAACAAAAUCCAUUCUCUUCAGCCUUAACGCGAAUGGCAUGUUCGUGUUUCACCAGGCACAUGCUGCCAACAUGCCACUUUUUUACUCAGGUUCGAUCACGGGAAGCAAGAGCAGAGGAUGAAAUGAGGGAGGCAGGAAGCCAGGAGAGUCAACACCAGCAUGGGAGACCAAACAGGUACAGCGUACAUCGACUGCUCUGAUAGCUUGAUUCUCUAGAGCCAUCUUCCAAGAUGCUGUAUGGGCCGCUGACUCUCAGAUCAGUUCAAGCCUCAGAGGCUGCAGGAGAGCCUGAAAGAGGAAGUGGGUUUGUGGGUGGGUCUAGACCAGUGGUUUUCAACCUUCCUAAUGCUGUGACCCUUUGAUACAGUUCCUCAUGUGGUGGUGACCCCCAACUAUAAGAUUAUUUUUGGCUACUUCAUAAUCAUAAUGUAAAUAUCUGUGCUUCCGGAUGCUCUUAGACGACCCCUGUGAAAGGGUCAUUUGGCACCCCCUAAGGAAUUAUCAAAUACAGGUUGUGAACUGAUGGUCUGGAGUGACAGAUAGCCUGUGUCCAAUGCGAUCAGAAAGGGUUUCUGUCUAUAAGUGUCUGGGACACAGCCAGUAGCCAAUGGUCUCUAAAACAUGGGACUGAAAGGAGGGUCUAGAAGGCACUAAGUGAGAUCUCACCUAUAAGCCAGCUCUACAUUCUCUCCUGGCAGUGGGCAUCUCAAUGCCCAUGAUGCCACCUGGGCUAUGUCUUUCUAAACUAGAAAAUAGCUUUGUCUAUCCCCUGGCCCUUCUCCUAACAAUCUUUUUCAGUGGAUGUUCCCAACCGUCCCCCUCUACCCCUCUUGGAAUACAGGUGAUGGGGUUGGUCAUGGCACGAGAAAGUGGAUCUGACGGCAGAGUGAGGCUGUGCCCAGGGUACCCUUCACUCACACACACCCCUGAAGGUUCCCCCUGCCCAUCCCCACCCACCUGCCCACCCUGCCGCUCUGCACUUGGUCAGUAGAGAUGAAUGGACACAGUGAGUCUUCUCCUCCCCUGCAUCAGUUGGGCCCCUCUGGUGCAUUGCAGUAGUUCUGGGCUGAGCACCAUAGGGCUGGCAGGCUUCGUGGCCAACCUGAAUGAGGUAUGGAAAACGCUAGGAGCUCCCACUUGAGGUAUCUACAGUAAGCAUCCCUUUCUCUAUGCCUCACCUGCAAUCCAGACCUCCUCCCACAAUCUCGGUAGCACUCUCUACCUGUGACCCCAGGUCUGCAAGGGAGGCCUUGGGCUUGAACAAGUACUUGCUUGCAAUUGGGGCUUCAAAGUAGUCAGGCUGCUCCAGACAGAAGAUACAACUGUGGUACCAGGGAAUCAGCAUGAAUGUAACUUCCUUCCUUUGAGAGCAGAGGAUCCCAUAGCCUAUCUGCAUAAAUCCUUUUCUGGGACCUGCCUUGAACUGCUCCAGAACUGACUGGAAGGUUCUAGAGGUAAAAAUUCAAAUGUUGAAGCCAGAGGGAACUGGGGGGGCUCUUUCACAGGGGUCACAU
rnacentral:sRNA from 1 species